AUGUUAUUUUGGUAGUUGAAGUGCAAGUUUUGGUAUCUGGAAGUGAAAUGGUGCUAAAGUUUAGAAUUUGAUUAUACCUUUUGUUGUUUCACUAUCAUAGAAGUUACUUCCAAUGUGGGUGACCUAGACGGUUGAGAGGUUCCAAUAUGUCACACUGUCUUGGGUUCAAUUCCUUGCUAUAUUAUUAAAAAAAUGAAAAGAAAAAAAAGAAAGAAUUAACAAGUUACUUCGCCUCAUUUUUAUUAUUAUUCCAGGCUAUAGCUUAUGAUCCUUCAUAAAUGGGUAAAUUUCACGAAUCCCGCUUGAACUUCUUUUUGUUGGUGGUGGUUUUAAAUUUUUGGGGUGACCCUGUACUUUCUUAAUCAGAAAAAGAACCCUUGAACUUACAAAAAAGUGCGUCAACUGUUGGUAGUAUCAAAAAUUCCGCCGCCUUGGGAUUUUGGUGAAAAUGGAUUUAAGAAAGACUAGCUGACCAAUUAUUAGCUGUGUCCUUAUCUUGAUUUUGAUCAGAGCAAGGGUGUCUUAUUAAACUUUCAUCUAGCUUGUUAAUCACUUCUCUUUGAGCGAUGGAAACAGUGGGUGAUUCUAGAUCAAGUUCAAAAGAGAAGAGAUCAUUUGAGGUAAUUUCAAAUCUAGAAUUCUCAAUCCUAAAUUCAUUGUUUGGGAAGCAUCCAUGUAAUAUUUGUCACAUGUGCAACUUGAAACAACAUACUUUUUUGUUAAUCGAUAUGAUUUUAACGUGACGUCUCAUAUUGUGUACCUGAUGUUUUUAAUAUCCAUUCGAUUAUGAAUGGCCCAUGGAUAAAUAGCAUUUUAGUAGAGCAUCUUAGUCCAAAGUUAUACCAUGUCAUUUACAGUUGUAUGCUAAUUGAGGACUUAGGGUGUUCAUCUGGUAUGAUUUUCAGAAAAGAAACCGCCUUCUCGCCUUUAUCCUGUUGCCUUGUUUGAGGAGGGACAUCAACAAUUAAACAAAAUGAGAGUAAGGGACAGCAGCAAUUAAACAAAAUGCAGGACACUUAAAAAAAGUUGAUAUUGUUUGCUGUUUGUUUUGGUCUCUUUUGAUAGCGCCACCUCUUAUGUACAUCAUCAGCCUUGUGAGGGAGAGUGGAUGUGUUUAUAUCCUUUUGUCCCUAAGGUCCCUAAGGUUAUCAAUUUUGUAGUUGUGCCUCCACCAUAGGGGCACAACUACAAAAUUACUGUCUUGUACAUCAAACGAUGCCCAUUUGUCGGUUUAUUGUUGUAUCAGUAGAAUGUUUGAACUGUUGUAUCAGUUUAUUCUUUUUUGCGAGGGAUUGGAUAAUCAUGUGACGUCUGGACUUGUUGGAUCAAGAAAGAUAAUAAGAUGCAAAGGUGAGGAAACAUAUUUAUUUGUAUUGAAAAGAGUUCAUACUUCAUAAUUUAUAUGCGUAGCUGCUAAUUGAAUCUUCUUAGUGUUCAGGGUUCAACCUGUGCCUUAUCACUUGCAGACCUGGAUUUAUUUUGCAGUGAGUGCAAAUAAUGUGUUUGAUUACCUCGUCCUUUGUAAGCUCAAGAGUAAUCCAAGCUAAACAUUCCCACCUAUAUUUGCACUGAGUACGAAUAGAUAUAUUAAACUCCAGCCUGUGGACUGUAGCUCUAAGAUCAUCAAUUCUGACAAAGUCAUGAUAUAUAACCUUAAACUGAAACUUGAUCUCACACCCCCGUGUAUUUUUCUGUUCAGACCUACAACCACUGAACUGAUGGAAACUUUGUUUGGUACUAUAUUUGAGAGACAAUACUAGGAUUUUGCAUUGUUGGUCUCAAAGUUCUACAAUUAAACUUUUUUUGAUAAGCAAAUGCAUCUAUGUUUAAUAAGGACACUUAAUAUAUUCUUUGUUCAAGUUGAAUAUAUUAACCUAUAUUAACCUAUAAGUUUCAUGUGUCAAAAGUUUUCAUUUCAGCUGUGUAUUCUCAUGAUUCUGAUAUAAAAUUUUCAAAUGAAGUAUACGGCAUUCUAAGUUGUUAAUUAUGCUAAAAUAUGUCUCUAAAGAAUUUGAGGGCAUAAGGCAUUGCUAUCCAUGUGAAUAGUACUGGAUAAUACCUAUCGCUUUAUUUUCUUGUUUCUGACUUAUUUUGAUAUCACUGGGUUCAGGUUAUGACGGUUUAAUUUGACUUGUCUACUUCUCUCAGUUAGGAUAGUUGAACUCUAUUAGAACUUGGUGUUCAGUUGGAGAUUACUAUUUUAAUUAUUUAUUUACCUCACCUUUUCCUUUUAUUCCAUCUUCUCUUAAUUUAUUUUCUUUCUGAUAUCAGAACGGCCAUCACCGUCUUCACCUGAAAUCUUUUUUCUAGCAUAUUUUAUUUUAGGUUAUCUCGAGUUUCAGCUGUCAAACAGAUUCUAGCCCUUCUAAACCUUUGUUUCCUUUUUACUCAUCGCGACAUUUGUGGGCGAUAAGUGUAAAUAAUCACUAUUGGUGCUUGUUUUCUUUCGUUUUGCAGUUGCAGGUUGUAUGAAGAAUUGCUACACAAGUAACUGAAGUUGUAAUGCUUUUGUGUUAAGAGUCUAUCGACCUUGAGCUUCUAAAACAAGAGGAAAAUAUUUGACUAGGAUGGGCUUCUGAUGUUGCUUUCAUUCUUUAGUUUCACUCGAUCUUUUUAAUGGUUUUUAUUUGAUUUGAUUUGCUUCCAUGUAGUACUUAUGUGCUGAAGUAGGAUUUUGCAUUGUUGGUCUCAAAGUUCUACAAUUAAACUUUUUUUGAUAAGCAAAUGCAUCUAUGUUUAAUAAGGACACUUAAUAUAUUCUUUGUUCAAGUUGAAUAUAUUAACCUAUAUUAACCUAUAAGUUUCAUGUGUCAAAAGUUUUCAUUUCAGCUGUGUAUUCUCAUGAUUCUGAUAUAAAAUUUUCAAAUGAAGUAUACGGCAUUCUAAGUUGUUAAUUAUGCUAAAAUAUGUCUCUAAAGAACCUGAUAAUUUAAUAUGUUGCUUUAAUUUGUUGGCAACAAAAUCAUGAUAAACUUUACAUCUGCUAAGUGGACAAAUAGAUAAUUCUUCAUAUAUAAGAUCUGAAGCAAUUUAAUGAAUUAUUAUUUUGUAGGUCAUGAGCAAACCUCCUGCAAUUCAAAUGGAAGGUUUUGAUGCAGAAGUUUCUGGUUGGUGUUAUCUUGAUGGUCCCUUGCUAUGCCAUUGAAUCAGUAUUGUUUCUGCUCCUAGAUAUAUUUAUCAAUUUUUGUAUCAUAUACAAACUAUUUGAAAUUAGUCCUUCAAAUUAUUUAAUUGCUAUUUGGUCCCUUUUUUAAGCUAUUUGAAAUUGGUCCCUCAAAUAAUUGAAGUUGCUAAUAUGGCCUUUGAUACUUAAGUUAUUUUGAAAUUAGUUGUUUAAAUAAAGAGUAGAAUUGCAAUUCAAAUGACAAAUUUGAAACAACUUACGACAAUUGACGGGUCUAAUAGAAAUCUCGAUACGCAACAACUCCAUAUGUAGCAGUCACCUACAACGCACAUGCUCCUCACUAGUUCUUAGGAAAAUAAUUAGAGCAAUAUUUAAAGGGCAUUUAGAGGUGGAAAAAGUACUGUAGCCACUGGUAAUACUUUAUGUUGAAGGACAUUUUUUAUUACCAGAACACAAUCUGGUAUCUGUCCAGAAAACAUACGUUGGACGAGUUGUAGGCACAUUGCUCUAAGGUGCCAGCAGUUUAAGCAAUUGGGUGCGCCUUGCUAUCUUCGUUGUUAUUUUUGAGCUUGAUUUGGAUUUUUUUUUAAUUUUGUUUUUUUUGUCUAUGAAAUUACAGGAGCAGAAGUUUCUGGUUGGUGUUAUCUUGAUGGUUCCUUGCUAUGCCAUUGAUUCGAUAUUGUUUCUGCUCCCAGAUAUAUUUAUCAAUUUUUGUAUCAUAUGCAAACUACUUCAAUUAGAGAAAUAUAUCAUAACUUUCAAAUAAGUAGAACGCUGCCCAUGUGCUUUCAGAAAAGUAUGUGAUAGUUUUGUGAUAAUACCUCAAAGAGUCCAUGGUAGUCACUGAGGACGGCAUAACUCAUAUGUUUUAGUGAUUUUAUUUCCUCUGUUCAUAUAACUAAACCGAUUUAGUAACUAAACUGGUUUAUCGCCGCUUUGUCCGAAAAUAUUUAAGUGACUUAAAAAAGACCCCCUUCGCUCAUUCCCUGUUGGGAUUAUGGAUAACGGUGACGAAUAUGGCUGUGAUUAGAUGCUCUUGAUAACUUUAGCCUUUUUUGUUAAAAUGGUUGGAUUUGGUAGUGGCAACAAACAAGCAUGAUGUACAUUGUUCUCUUAACUUCCUUUUCAAACAUCUUUUUUUCCCAAUUUUAUUAUCAUCAUUGCAAAAAUUAUGCUGAUUCAUGAAAAUUUACACAGGUACAGAAAUGAUGAAAGCCAAGAUUGAGAUUGAUACUGACAUGCUCCUAGUGAGUAUUUGACAUUGAGGAACAAGUUUUUGGAAACAAAUAGAGAAUAUAGUCUUCGACCGAGAAGUUUCAUGUUUUGUAAUCAAAUGUUGAUGUACAUUCUUUGAAUGUUAGUUCGGUACGAUAUUUUCUGAGUUGAAAUGUUGGUAGUGUGGAUUUAAUACUUUGUAGUUUUUAUACUAUACUGAUGUAUGUUGGCACUUAUCAUUAUGGUUGAUUAUGCUCAACAUAAUCACUUUUAUAUUGUGUA